rnacentral:rRNA from 1 species
GCAAUGGACGAAAGUCUGACCGAGCAACGCCGCGUGAGUGAAGAAGGUUUUCGGAUCGUAAAGCUCUGUUGUAAGUCAAGAACGUGUGUGAGAGUGGAAAGUUCACACAGUGACGGUAGCUUACCAGAAAGGGACGGCUAACUACGUGCCAGCAGCCGCGGUAAUACGUAGGUCCCGAGCGUUGUCCGGAUUUAUUGGGCGUAAAGGGAGCGCAGGCGGUCAGGAAAGUCUGGAGUAAAAGGCUAUGGCUCAACCAUAGUGUGCUCUGGAAACUGUCUGACUUGAGUGCAGAAGGGGAGAGUGGAAUUCCAUGUGUAGCGGUGAAAUGCGUAGAUAUAUGGAGGAACACCAGUGGCGAAAGCGGCUCUCUGGUCUGUCACUGACGCUGAGGCUCGAAAGCGUGGGUAGCGAACAGGAUUAGAUACCCUGGUAGUCCACGCCGUAAACGAUGAGUGCUAGGUGUUAGGCCCUUUCCGGGGCUUAGUGCCGGAGCUAACGCAAUAAGCACUCCGCCUGGGGAGUACGACCGCAAGGUUGAAACUCAAAGGAAUUGACGGGGGCCCGCACAAGCGGUGGAGCAUGUGGUU